CUCAAUUCUCUUCUGUUCUGGGCAAAUAUUCUGGUCUCCAAUCGAAUCUUGUGAGUGCACACAAGUCUUGAUGUCGUGUUAACCCUGGAGGGCAACCGCAAGCGUUCUACUGCACCGGGGUAGCGAGGAAUUGUCUUUUAGAGCAGUGGUUCGUCCACGGCGCGACAAUCGUUCUAAUUCGGUCACCUCGUUCAUCACGAUAUUGAGAUAAGUUUAUUCUAAUUAUAUUCCAAUUAAAUUAUUGUGGCAACAUUAUUACUUUAUGGUAUUAAAUCGCAACAAUUUAUCACCAAACAAUGUCCGAUUGCCUAAAUGGCUAAAUUAUAAGAAGUCUUUGUCAAUUGUUUGGUCAAGAUUUUGUCACUUAAUGAGGGUUAGCAAUAGAUAUUUUGAUUGUUCAUUCGUGUGUAUGUGUAACGCGCUCCAAGCGAAAUAAGUUGGGAUGAAAUUGUGCCAAACAGGUCAAGUUCGAGUUGGUUAAUCUAAAUAUCCGACCUUAAAGGGCAUUAAUGGCCAUCGUUUAUGUGUUGCCUAAAUUAUCAUUAUGAUAUGGUCCCUCUUUUCUCAGUUAGGCUCUCGGUUUAGAUGCAAUUUUAUGUUAAACUUAAUAAGGUGGGUCGGGUUUGAACUUUAGUUUAUUAACUGCCUUUUCAUAGGCUUUCAAGGUUUCAAGUUACUUUCCUUCACUGGAUUCAUGGCCGGGGGCAUUCCGUGACAGUUUUAGGCUAAAUUCUUACUUAUACAUAUUGUCUAUUAUUUUUGUGCAUUAAUGUGAGAGGAUACCCUGCAAGGAAACAUGCAGAGAGGUGCUUAGAGGAACCUUCAAUGUUGGUUGUCACAUACGAGGGCAUUCAUCCCUCCAUAGCUCUUAUACUAGGCUCAAAUUAAGGUGAAGAUGAUCUUUGAUUACUUUGAAGUAUCUCUUGGUUUUGUGGCUAGAGUCUUACCACUGGCGUGCCUCUGAGUGUGAUGCAAAAGUCUGAGUAGUUAGAUUGCUUCUGAUGGCACGAGUUAGACCGAAGAAGUCAACAUGAAAAAAUCCGAGCUAAUUGUGUUAGGGUUAUUUCUUAAUAUAACCAUUGACGAGGAUGCAGAAGCUGAUGUUUUUCUCUACUACAAAGUACUUUGUUGGUUUUUCUUUUGGAGCCUUCUCCCGCAUUCAAAUAUUGGUUUUUCUCUUGGAGCGUUCUCCUGCAUUCAAAUACCCGGAGUACUUUGUUGUUUGAUCCACUUUUCUGGAUAAUCUGUUUCGAAAUUAUGUAGUUGAUUGUGGUGAUUUUGGUUUCUGAUAUAACACCAAUAUCGGUUAGGGAAUUGUUGUACCAAUACGCAAAUGAUUUGGUGAUUUAGUAUGUGUUUUUUAUUGCAAAAUUGAACGAGUAUAGAAAAGACAACGUAACUAAUCUCAAGCAAGUGUGAAGAUCACUUCGAAUUUAUUUAUCU